GUAUCAUUCGGGUUCGGAAUUGCUUACUAGGCCAUCCUGUUGGCCGUUGAUGAGGUAGAAGAUAUCUUGAUUGGCUUGGUGUCCUGUUGCGUAAGGUGAGGACUGUACAGCUCGACGCACCUUGAAACCUGUUGUUCAUCCGGUGGCUGUUGAGUUCUGGAUUGGAGAUAUGAACCCUAGGAAACAGUGGACAAUGACUUAUGACUUGUGCCAAGAGCUUCUGGGGGACAAUCUGCUCACCUGCAUUUCAAUCCCUUUGUAGUCCCCCUUGAUCACAAAUCAUCCUCAUUCGAUGACUACAAUGCAACUUAGCUGGACGUUGCAAUCCCGUGCCCUCAAAUUUAUCGCGUGCUCCUUAACUGUGGUAGGAUAAUACUAUCAUGAUAUCACCUCAGUGAAAGAUAAGUUCAAACCAAGUUCUCUGCAUAUUUUUGCCAGUGC
rnacentral:sRNA from 1 species